GGACAGUAGUGAGAAGUUUAGAGCGACUGUCCGAUGACUUCCGCUUUCAUUUCAAGAUGGCUGCUCCCGCAUGUAAACAUGCGAUGUGUCUCCGGGUUGGCAUGCUGGAAUUAUAAGUUCGUUUUAGAAAGGUGCUUGUUUAUACCAUAUACGGUAGAAGGAAAAGUUAUAUUUAAGGUCGUAGAGUCUGUUUCUAAAUUCAUACCUUGUAGUCAAUAGCUCGUGGUACCAACACCGUUUUCCAUCAUGGGUAGCCAUACGUUGUUCGUCAAAGCUUUGCCCGGUUCGGCGUCAAAUGAACGUCUUACAGAGAUCUUUUCCGAGAUCGGACCUGUAAGGUAUUGCUUCGUUGUCUACGAAAAGGGGACUAAAAAAUGUCGGGGAUUUGGAUACGUAAUUUACGCCAUGGAGGACGAUGCACAUCAAGCAGUGAAAGAAAUCAAAAGUUACGACGGGAAAAGGAUAUCUGUGUCAAUUGCAAAGAAGAAGAUACAUGCAAAAAAGAAGCCAGUUCCCAAAGCACCACCUCCGAAAGAGGGGGAAGAGAAAGAGGGACCCCGAAAAAAUAAGCAGAAGAAACACCCGAAAGAGGGACCCCCAAAAGAGACGCAGAAGAAACCCCUGAAAAUAGAACCCCCAAAAGAGACCCCAAACAAAGCCCCGAAAGAGCAACCAGCGAAACCCCUGGCAGAGGCACCCGCAAAACAGGGACCCCCAAAAGAGCAACCACAGAAAUGCGGGAAAGAGGAAUCCAUGAAAGAGGGAACCCCGAAACAGCAACAACCGAAAGAGGAACCCCCCAAAGCUCAACCUCCAAAGGAAGAUGAGCCCACAUUUAAAGGCAUUCGAAAAAGUGCACUGAAAUCCAAACUCAUCAUCAGAAAUAUCAGUUUUAAGUGCUCCGAAGAUGAUCUGAAGCAGACUUUUUCCGCAUUUGGGGAAGUUCUCGAAACCAAAAUCCCUCUGAAACCUGAUGGAAAGAUGCGUGGUUUUGGAUUUGUCCUGUUCAAAAAUAUGUCGGGAGCAGGGAAAGCCCUCAAAGCUAUGAACAUGAAGGAGAUAAAAGGGCGUCUGGUAGCGGUGGACUGGGCCAUACCGAAGGAUAAGUUCCUCGCCACCCAACCAGAAGUUCCUAAGAAAAAGGAAGAUCCGGUGAAAGACGAACCGGAGAAAGACGAAGCGGAGAGCGCCUCUGAGGACGAGGGCGGAACGGAGAAGCAAGCGGGGCCCAAGGAAGGAGCCCUCUCCAAAAAGGCUGCAAAGCAGCUGAAGGAGGCCUCUUCAGACGAUGAAGAGGAUAGUGACAAUGGAGAAGAGAGUGAGGAGGAGGAAGAUGAGGAGGAUGGCGGGUCUCAAGAGAGUGGAGAUGAGGAUGAUGACAACAGUAGCUUCGAUAGUGACGAGGAGGAUUAUGAUGAUGACGAUGAUGAAGAUGAUGAUGACAGCAAUGAUGAUCUAGAUCGUAAACCGAGGAAACCCCUCCCUUCAGAUGUGAAUGAGGGCAGAACGAUCUUCAUCAGGAACCUCUCCUUCGACACGGAGGAGGCAGCUCUGGAGGAGGCGCUGUUGCGUUUCGGGGAACUGAACUACAUCAAGAUAGUUCUUCACCCAGACACGGACCACUCCAAAGGUUGUGCAUUUGCCCAGUUUAAACGUAAAGAAUCUGCGGAAAAGUGCAUUGCAAUGACCCAAGCUGAUGCAGAGAAUGGCGGCGUCCGCGUCGACGGCCGGAGGCUGAUCGUCUCGGCGGCGGUGACCCGGGAGAGUGCAGCCCAACUCAAAGACAAGAAGGUGAAGGUGGAGACCGGGGCCAGGAACCUCUACCUAGCGAGAGAAGGAUUAAUUCGUGCUGGAACCAAGGCUGCAGAGGGAGUGCCUGAAGCAGACAUGGUCAAACGAACCCGGUUUGAGGAGGUUAAGAGAACCAAGCUCCGAGACAUUAAUGUGUACGUGUCGAAGACUCGACUCUGUAUCCAUAACCUACCCAAGUCGGUGGACAAUACAAAACUGAAGGACAUCUGUUUUCAAGCUUUAAGCAGAGCAAGAGGAGUUCGCAUCCCCGAGUGCAGGGUGAUGUAUGACAGGAAACCAGAGAAGGGCAAGGCCAUGGGCCUGUCUCUAGGAUACGGCUUUGUCGAGUUCCAGCACCCAGACCACGCUCUCAGCACCCUCCGCCACCUCAACAACAACCCCGACAUCUUCGGCCCCACCAAGAGACCUAUCGUCGAAUUUUCCCUGGAGGACGGAAGGAAACUGAAAUUAAAGGAAGCAAGACAACUUAAAAACAAGGAACACUUCAAAAACGGACCUCGUAAAGGUGGAGUGAAGAUUCAGUUCAAAUCACAACCAGGAGGUGGAGAGAAGAUUGAGCCCAAACCGAGAGUUGCAGUGAAGAUUGAGCCACAACCUGGUGAUGCAGUGAAGGUUCAACCCCAACCUGGUGAUGCAGUGAAGGUUCAACCCCAACCUGGUGAUGCAGUGAAGGUUCAACCAAAGACUAGAUGUGUGGUGAAGUUUAAGACGGAACCUGGAGCUGCAGCUAGCCUGCAGCCGGCCGGCCAGAACAACACAGUGCAAGCCAAACGGAAAAUGGAUACUCCUGAAGCCAAGCACUUCUCUGGAUUCCUGACCAAGCCGGAGGUGGAAUACGUAGAACUGGAGGACGGAAAGAAGAAGCGCAAGACUCUGCCCUUCCCGUCACACAGGGGGCCUAAGAUCAGGCUGCGUGAUAAAGGUAAACAGCAGGCUCCUCCCAAGAAACCUAAGGGUCACACCAGCAGGAAGGACCGCCAGGCUCCUUCGAUGGUGCAGAAACCCCCACAGGCCAGGCCACAGGAUGAGUUGGAUGACACUGCACAGGUCUGGAACACACACACCAUCAGGCCAUCGAACAACCUUAACCUCCCCAGCGGUCGGCCCAACAUGUUUGCAUUACCUGAACUAUAUGGGACAAGAGACUUCCUUUCCCAAAAUGAAUGUAUCUUUCGCCAGACCGAAGCAUUUGAUCCAGAUCUAUACGAACUAAGCAACAUCCUUGUGGCUGAUUCCAAUCUCCCUCUGGCAACAGAUCCAUAUCAGGCAGUGGAUUUGUACAUGCACCUCAGAGAGGCCAUCACGGCAUCUCUGUAGGUCAGACGUGUUUAGUUGUGUCGAGCUUCGAAGUGGCAGGAUUUUUUGGUCACAGUGCGAAACCAGGCAAGAAGCCUUUCAGGAACCGAGAAGAGGACCGCUUCGACAGCAUGGUGGAAAAAUACAAGAACAAGAUACUGGGAGG